CGUAGAGAAAUCGAGUCUUAAUAGGGCGUUUAGUUGCUGGGUAUAGACCCGAAACCAGGCGAUCUAUCCAUGAGCAGGUUGAAGGUUGGGUAACACUAACUGGAGGACCGAACCCACUGUCGUUGAAAAGCCAGGGGAUGACUUGUGGAUAGGGGUGAAAGGCUAAUCAAGCCUGGUGAUAGCUGGUUCUCCCCGAAAGCUAUUUAGGUAGCGCCUCGGACGAAUACCAUAGGGGGUAGAGCACUGUUUCGGCUAGGGGGUCAUCCCGACUUACCAAACCGAUGCAAACUCCGAAUACCUAUGAGUACUAUCCGGGAGACAGACUGCGGGUGCUAACGUCCGUAGUCAAGAGGAAAACAAUCCAGACCGCCAGCUAAGGCCCCAAAAUCAUAGUUAAGUGGGAAACGAUGUGGGAAGGCAUAGACAGCUAGGAGGUUGGCUUAGAAGCAGCCACCCUUUAAAGAAAGCGUAAUAGCUCACUAGUCGAGUCGGCCUGCGCGGAAGAUGUAACGGGGCUAAAACUAUGUGCCGAAGCUGCGGAUGUAUACUUUGUAUACGUGGUAGGGGAGCGUUCUGUAAGCCGAUGAAGGUGUGUUGAGAAGCAUGCUGGAGGUAUCAGAAGUGCGAAUGCUGACGUGAGUAACGACAAAACGGGUGAAAAACCCGUUCGCCGAAAGACCAAGGGUUCCAGUCCAACGUUAAUCGGGGCUGGGUGAGUCGACCCCUAAGGCGAGGCCGAAAGGCGUAGUCGAUGGGAAAAUGGUUAAUAUUCCAUUACUUCUGUGUAAUGCGAUGAGAGGACGGAGAAGGCUAAAUCAGCCUGGCGUUGGUUGUCCAGGUGAAAGGAUGUAGGCAUGUAUCUUAGGCAAAUCCGGGGUACUCUAUGCUGAGAUCUGAUAGCAAGCUGUACUUGUACAGCGAAGUGGUUGAUGCCAUGCUUCCAGGAAAAGUCUCUAAGCUUCAGUUACACAGGAAUCGUACCCGAAACCGACACAGGUGGUCAGGUCGAGUAGACCAAGGCGCUUGAGAGAACUCUGCUGAAGGAACUAGGCAAAAUGGUACCGUAACUUCGGGAGAAGGUACGCUGUUGUUGGUGAUGGAACUCGCUUCCUGAGCUGACGACAGCCGCAGAAACCAGGCCGCUGCAACUGUUUAUUAAAAACAUAGCACUCUGCAAACACGAAAGUGGACGUAUAGGGUGUGAUGCCUGCCCGGUGCUGGAAGGUUAAUUGAUGGGGUUAGCGUAAGCGAAGCUCUUGAUCGAAGCCCCAGUAAACGGCGGCCGUAACUAUAACGGUCCUAAGGUAGCGAAAUUCCUUGUCGGGUAAGUUCCGACCUGCACGAAUGGCAUAAUGAUGGCGGCGCUGUCUCCAGCAGAGGCUCAGUGAAAUCGAAAUCGCUGUGAAGAUGCAGUGUACCCGCGGCUAGACGGAAAGACCCCGUGAACCUUUACUGCAGCUUGACACUGAACUUUGACCUUACUUGUGUAGGAUAGGUGGGAGGCUUUGAAGCUGGAACGCUAGUUCCAGUGGAGCCGUCCUUGAAAUACCACCCUGGUAAUGUUGAGGUUCUAACUCUGUCCCGUGAUCCGGGACGAGGACCGUGUCUGGUGGGUAGUUUGACUGGGGCGGUCUCCUCCUAAAGAGUAACGGAGGAGUACGAAGGUGCGCUCAGCGUGGUCGGAAAUCACGCGUAGAGUAUAAAGGCAAAAGCGCGCUUAACUGCGAGACCCACAAGUCGAGCAGGUACGAAAGUAGGUCUUAGUGAUCCGGUGGUUCUGUAUGGAAGGGCCAUCGCUCAACGGAUAAAAGGUACUCUGGGGAUAACAGGCUGAUACCGCCCAAGAGUUCAUAUCGACGGCGGUGUUUGGCACCUCGAUGUCGGCUCAUCUCAUCCUGGGGCUGAAGCAGGUCCCAAGGGUAUGGCUGUUCGCCAUUUAAAGAGGUACGCGAGCUGGGUUUAGAACGUCGUGAGACAGUUCGGUCCCUAUCUACCGUGGGCGCUGGAAAUUUGAGAGGAUCUGCUCCUAGUACGAGAGGACCAGAGUGGACGAACCUCUGGUGUACCGGUUGUGACGCCAGUCGCAUCGCCGGGUAGCUAUGUUCGGAAGGGAUAACCGCUGAAAGCAUCUAAGCGGGAAGCCUACCUCAAGAUAAGAUUUCCCUAGGACUUUAUGUCCUCUAAAGAGCCGUUCGAGACUAGGACGUUGAUAGGUUGGAUGUGGAAGCAUAGUGAUAUGUGAAGCUGACCAAUACUAAUUGCUCGUGAGGCUUGACUAUAC
rnacentral:rRNA from 1 species